rnacentral:rRNA from 1 species
CAGUAGCCGCGGGAAUACGAAGGGGGCUAGCGUUGUUCGGAAUUACUGGGCGUAAAGCGCACGUAGGCGGAUAUUUAAGUCAGGGGUGAAAUCCCAGAGCUCAACUCUGGAACUGCCUUUGAUACUGGGUAUCUUGAGUAUGGAAGAGGUUAGUGGAAUUGCGAGUGUAGAGGUGAAAUUCGUAGAUAUUCGCAGGAACACCAGUGGCGAAGGCGGCUAACUGGUCCAUAACUGACGCUGAGGUGCGAAAGCGUGGGGAGCAAACAGGAUUAGAGACCCCGGUAGUCCCUGUCUCUUAUAC